AUCCCACUGGAUUUUGGCUCAGGUCAUGAUCUCAUGGUUAGGGAGACUGAGUCCCAUGUAGGGUUCUGCACUGUCAGCGUGGAGCCUGCUUGGGAUUCUCUCUCUCCCUCUCUGCCCCUCCCCCACUCACUUUCUUUCUCUCUCUCUCAAAAUAAAUAAAUAACCUUAAAAAAAAUUCAACACCUUGGGAGACGUGGGAAGAAGGGAACUUUAAGUUAAAAACAAAGAGAUAUUUCCUUAACUUGAUAAGGAGUACUGACUAGGGCCCCUGUUAAAAAGGGAAAAGACAUCUUUAUAAUAAUAGUAAUGAUAACAAUGACAACAACAACAAAAAUACAUGUUUCAUUAAAAAAAAAAGUUAUAACUAUCAUUAGCUAUAGAAGAUAAGGUUUUCCACCUAGAAAGUCCAAGAUACUUAACUAAAAUAUUACCAGGGAAUUGGGAAUGGUCUCCAAAAGGAGUACUAACCUAAAAAAUCAAUACCUUUUCUAUAUACCAGUAAUAAAAACCUAUUGGAAAUAUGUAAUGGAAAAAAAUAUCCCAACUAUACAGGCAAAAAAGAC